GAUGAACGCUGGCGGCGUGCCUAAUACAUGCAAGUCGAGCGAACAGACGAGGAGCUUGCUCCUCUGACGUUAGCGGCGGACGGGUGAGUAACACGUGGAUAACCUACCUAUAAGACUGGGAUAACUUCGGGAAACCGGAGCUAAUACCGGAUAAUAUAUUGAACCGCAUGGUUCAAUAGUGAAAGACGGUUUUGCUGUCACUUAUAGAUGGAUCCGCGCCGCAUUAGCUAGUUGGUAAGGUAACGGCUUACCAAGGCAACGAUGCGUAGCCGACCUGAGAGGGUGAUCGGCCACACUGGAACUGAGACACGGUCCAGACUCCUACGGGAGGCAGCAGUAGGGAAUCUUCCGCAAUGGGCGAAAGCUUGACGGAGCAACGCCGCGUGAGUGAUGAAGGUCUUCGGAUCGUGAAACUCUGUUAUUAGGGAAGAACAAAUGUGUAAGUAACUAUGCACGUCUUAACGGUACCUAAUCAGAAAGCCACGGCUAACUACGUG
rnacentral:rRNA from 1 species